CUCCCAGGCACUAAGCGUGCCCUGCCCUGUGCUAGAACCCUCCGUGAAGGCGUGUUUCCACCCACCCCAAUGGCGACUCUCUCCCCCAGGGCAGCUGCUGCCCUCCUUUUACUCCUUUAUAGAUGGAGUGGUGAACAGGCGGUGCUAGGAGGUUUGUCAUCCUGUGAACCGGGGAAAUGCUGUAGCUGGGUCUCCUCCUGAUGCAUGAGGCAGCUGUUGGGAUGGCAGAAACUUGAUCUUUCUGAGAGCUUCUUGUAUGCAGCCAGCUAAAUAACAAAGGCUUGUGUCAUAAAAGGAUGAAUAAGAUUAUUCUGGUAGCGUACAUGCCGAAGGAUGUGUCCCAUGAUUGCAACUCUGGGCUGCAGUCAAUUGUUGGUAAACUAUCCUGUGAAGAAUUUACAGGAUUGAGAGACAAGGGUCCUGGCUUUCAGAAGAACUACUACCUGUGGAAGUAUACUAUUUGUUAUUGGGUAAGUAUUUCCCAGAGCCCCAUGUCAAAGGAGUCACCACUCUGGGUCUGCCUGUGCUUUCUGAGUCAGAAAUUGCAUAGAGAUAUUCUGUGUAAAGAACCAUGAGGGAAUUGAGGUUUAUUUGAUUUUUUAUUAUUCUUAUUACUAUUACCACUCAUACUUUACACUAUGGUCCUCUGUAAUAUCAUGCUUAAAUCAGUUACACAAGGUAGUUACCAAUUCUGAAUAAUAAUUUGUAUUAAACUUGCUGGAAGAUAUUGCUAUGUCUUUGUUUGUUGGAGUCUGCAAAUAGGAAAUAAUUAUUCCUUAGUUGUCUUUUAUCAAUACCUUGCUCCAGAUACUACUUAGAAAAUCUUUAGGCUGAGGUGGAGCUUGGGGACUGUCAUACGGCAACUCUGGAGACAGUGUUGGACAACAUGAGGGGCAUCUGUAGAAUCUGCACUCAACAAUUACAACUCUGUGAAACUCUUAAAUAAAACUAUUUCACAACAUGAUUGUGGAACA
rnacentral:lncRNA from 1 species